rnacentral:rRNA from 1 species
CAGCAGCCGCGGGAACACGAAGGGGGCUAGCGUUGUUCGGAUUUACUGGGCGUAAAGCGCACGUAGGCGGAUUCUUAAGUCAGAGGUGAAAUCCCAAGGCUCAACCUUGGAACUGCCUUUGAUACUGGGGAUCUUGAGUCCGGGAGAGGUGAGUGGGACUGCGAGUGUAGAGGUGAAAUUCGUAGAUAUUCGCAAGAACACCAGUGGCGAAGGCGGCUCACUGGCCCGGUACUGACGCUGAGGUGCGAAAGCGUGGGGAGCAAACAGGAUUAGAUACCCGCGUAGUCCCUGUCUCUUAUAC